AAUAUGCUUACAGUAAAAUGUAAAAUUUAUAUUUUAUGCUUCUGGGUGUCAAAUAUAGUGAAUAUUUAUCUAAAUAGAGACGAGGAACUAGAAAGGCAAUUUGAGAGUAGAGACAUAAGGAGUGACUUUUAACUAAAAUUUCCCUUUCAAUUCCUUACUUCCCAAAUUAGUAUAUUACCAAAGAAGAUGAGAACUAGACCGUAUCUUCUUGGCGAAAGGAAAUAAGUUUAUUGAUACAGUUUACACUGGGCAUGCUUUAAAACACAUCUGUUCCUUCAACACGUAAACCUUCCAUGAUGUGCAAAAGUCAUAUCCCCCAUGGCUUUGCAUGUGGCUUUCUCUCAAUCUCUUUGUUGUGGAUCCAGUCAUCCUAUGUAUGUGUGCUGCUCAGCUCUCCAUAAAGAAAAAAUCCUCAGGGAACUCUCUCAAUAGCUGAUGACUUACUGUCGACGAAAGCCCUGCUUCAACCCUUACCUUGCCAAUAACUGAUGAACAAGUAGCUGAAGAACCUCCAUUUCAUCUUGACCUGAGUCAUUCCUCUAUGAUGACCUACAUGAUCCUCUAGCCUAGAAUUAAACCACGUAAUAGUGGCUGAUCUUCCGCCUCCUGUGGUACUGAGUUCGCCCUGAUGGCAAAACUGGAUCUUACUGGUUUUUUUUUUUUGUUUGUUUUGUUUUUAACCCCUAUGCAUCAUGCAGCAUCUGAGAUGUAGAUGGCCCAAUAAAUAGAAAAAUAAU